rnacentral:rRNA from 1 species
GACGAACGCUGGCGGCGUGCCUAAUACAUGCCAGUUGAGCGCUGAAGGUUGGUACUUGUACCAACUGGAUGAGCAGCGAACGGGUGAGUAACGCGUGGGGAAUCUGCCUUUGGGCGGGGGACAACAUUUGGAAACGGAUGCUAAUACCGCAUAAAAACUUUAAACACAAGUUUUAAGUUUGAAAGAUGCAAUUGCAUCACUCAAAGAUGAUCCCGCGUUGUAUUAGCUAGUUGGUGAGGUAAAGGCUCACCAAGGCGAUGAUACAUAGCCGACCUGAGAGGGUGAUCGGCCACAUUGGGACUGAGACACGGCCCAAACUCCUACGGGAGGCAGCAGUAGGGAAUCUUCGGCAAUGGACGAAAGUCUGACCGAGCAACGCCGCGUGAGUGAAGAAGGUUUUCGGAUCGUAAAACUCUGUUGGUAGAGAAGAACGUUGGUGAGAGUGGAAAGCUCAUCAAGUGACGGUAACUACCCAGAAAGGGACGGCUAACUACGUG